GUGUAAAAGUGGGGAGGAGGUGCUGGUGUUUUAGGUCAGAGGAGGUGACGGAGGAGGUGACGGUGUUUUAGGUCAGAGGAGGUGACGGAGGAGGUGAAGGUGUUUUAGGUCAGAGGAGGUGACGGUGUUUUAGGUCAGAGGAGGUGACGGAGGAGGUGAAGGUGUUUUAGGUCAGAGGAGGUGACGGAGGAGGUGAAGGUGUUUUAGGUCAGAGGAGGUGACGGUGUUUUAGGUCAGAGGAGGUGAAGUAGGAGGUGAAGGUGUUUUAGGUCAGAGGAGGUGACGGUGUU